rnacentral:rRNA from 1 species
AUUCCUGGAGGAGCGGUGAAAUGCGUAGAUUUCAGGGAGAACACCAAUGGCGAAAGCAGCUUUCUGGCCUAUUUCUGACGCUGAGGUACGUAAGCUAGGGUAGCGAACCGGAUUAGAUACCCGGGUAGUCCUAGCCGUAAACAAUGGACACUGGGCGUCAAACUUAAGUUUGGUGCCGUAGCUAACGCGUUAAGUGUCCCGCCUGGGAAGUACGGUCGCAAGACUGAAACUCAAAGGAAUUGACGGGGGCCUGCACAAGCGGUGGAGCAUGUGGUUUAAUUCGAUGCAACGCGAAGAACCUUACCUGGGUUUGACAUUCCAUUGACAGCUCUGGAAACAGAGUCUUCCUGUUUUUAUAACGGGACAAUGGAACAGGUGCUGCAUGGCUGUCGUCAGCUCGUGUCGUGAGAUGUUGGGUUAAGUCCCGCAACGAGCGCAACCCCUACACUUUGUUACCAGCGGGUAAUGCCGGGGACUCUAAGUGAACUGCCCAGAACAACUGGGAGGAAGGUGGGGACGACGUCAAGUCAUCAUGGCCCUUAUGUCCAGGGCUACACACGUGCUACAAUGGCUAGCACAAAGGGGAGCCAAUCCGCAAGGAUGAGCAAAUCCCAAAAAGUCAGCCUCAGUUCGGAUUGCAGGCUGCAAUUCGCCUGCAUGAAGGUGGAAUCGCUAGUAAUCGUGGGUCAGCAAUACCACGG